rnacentral:pre_miRNA from 1 species
UGACAGAAGAGAGUGAGCACACAGCGGCAGGCUACGUCUGAUAAGAGCAUGGUUAAUAGUAUAGCCAACUGCUGGCUAUACUAUGAGCACGUGCUUAGACGCAGCUGCUGUUGCGUGCUCACCCUCUCUCUGUCU